CCCAACCGAGAGGAGGGGGAUGCCUAAGGUAGGACUGAUGACUGGGGUGAAGUCGUAACAAGGUAGCCGUACCGGAAGGUGUGGCUGGAUCACCUCCUUUUAGGGAGACCUAAUCCAUUUAGAAUUUCCGAGCAAUUUUCAUUGCUAGAAACUAAAUUGGUCUAACCUAGGUCGGUCGAGAUUGGUAGAUAUCUUUCAAAGUAUUAUUAGGCUUAGUUCAAUAGGAAAAAAGACAGCACCUAACAAUCAUCGUUAGACUGCUGGGUGAAAUUCCAGCCAGAACCUUGAAAACUGCAUAAGAGAAAGAGAAAAAGCAGGCAGACACAGACAUUUAAAUGGAUGUGAAAGCAAAAGAAAUUGUGGUCAAGCUAAUAAGAGCUAAUGGUG
rnacentral:misc_RNA from 1 species